rnacentral:lncRNA from 1 species
GCAGCUGGAGGGCCUAGCAAGUGGAUGAGAGAUUGUCUGUGGAAAAUGGAGUUCUCGGAUAUGUUUGGAGUGUCACUAGGAAUCUAACAAAAAGAUGUUUUUGCAGAGAUUGGAUUCAGCUCAAGAUGAAAUCUGCUCCUACAAGGUCUGGGGACACUAGGACAGCACAUGCCAAAAGCCACAGUGAGGCUAAGCAACUGGUUGCCUCUACAAACUGCCACUGGACACUUCUCUGACAACCCAGGGGCGCACUGAUGUCUGCCCACCCACUCCACCCAUGCCACAGAUUGAGUACGGCAGCAGCAGCAGCAGCAGCCGGCGACAAGCAGCACUUCAGCCACUUGGGCCAUGUUUCAGCCACCUGAGCACCCCUGAGACUUCCUCUGGAGGCACUGGCAGUAGUUCCAUCCUGCUUCCUGUGACUCACAGGAAUCCGUGCUUAACUUCAUACGUGGAAGGGUGCACAAAAAGUGGCCUGCCUGUAGGAUUUCAGUGCAGAUCCAUACAAAUUGGUACAGAAAGAGCUCAGAAGUGAAGACCAUGUUUUUGGAGACAGAACUUUCCUGGAGCUCAGUGGAUUGGGAUUUCAUGUAAAUCUGGAUUACGCGAAGAACAAAGCUGGCCCAUGAGCUCUUCUGUAUUCUCUGUAACCCUUAGGGCUGGUUUUGAACUCAUUCUUUC